GGCGAACGCUGGCGGCGUGCUUAACACAUGCAAGUCGAACGCUGAAGCUUGGUGCUUGCACUGGGUGGAUGAGUGGCGAACGGGUGAGUAAUACGUGAGUAACCUGCCCUUGACUCUGGGAUAAGCCUGGGAAACUGGGUCUAAUACUGGAUACGACAUGCCACUGCAUGGUGGUGUGUGGAAAGGGUUUUACUGGUUUUGGAUGGGCUCACGGCCUAUCAGCUUGUUGGUGGGGUAAUGGCCUACCAAGGCGACGACGGGUAGCCGGCCUGAGAGGGUGACCGGCCACACUGGGACUGAGACACGGCCCAGACUCCUACGGGAGGCAGCAGUGGGGAAUAUUGCACAAUGGGCGGAAGCCUGAUGCAGCGACGCCGCGUGAGGGAUGACGGCCUUCGGGUUGUAAACCUCUUUCAGCACGGAAGAAGCGAGAGUGACGGUACGUGCAGAAGAAGCGCCGGCUAACUACGUG
rnacentral:rRNA from 1 species